AGGAAAUAAACAGGGCAGGGGUCUGGGAGGGAUUGUCGGUGCGUGAUCACUCCCCGUGAGGUCCCAGAUUGAUCUCCAGCCCUCGCGACCGUCACACCUCAGAUGCUCCGCCUACUGGGUGAGCAGAUGAACAAGCGAGUGACACACAGGCUGGUUUGCCCACGGAGCUCAGCCCCAAGCUGACUGGAGCCUCGGCGGCACCUCUUCAGAAAUGGAGGAGAAGACGGGCUUGCUGGUGGACGCCUGGCUGCUUCCCAGUCCGGGGCUGUUAGGAAGCUGCUGCCACGGGCAGCUGCAUGCAAGUCUUCCUGUGAACACAUCUUUCCUUUCUCUCGCUACGUCACAGACAGGUGAAUGUUCAAUUGUAAAGAAACUGCCAAAUGGUGGCUGUAACAGUGGUAUCACAGUUAUUUUUUUGUUAAUUUUGGCCCAUCUAAUGGACACAAAGUAGCCGUUCCUCAGCGUGUUAUGCUGUAUUUCCCCCAAAGAAUAAUCAUAUUUGACACCUUUCAUGCCCUCACUGGCCUUUGUGUAUCUUUUUUAAUAAAGCGUUAAAAACUUUUA